rnacentral:lncRNA from 1 species
AAAAAAAAAAAAGAAAUUGCUUGUCAGGGAGGCGCUUUUUUUUCCCACUUCUGUUUUAUAAUCCUCUCUUUUUUUCCUCAUAUUUAUACGGUUCUACAGUGUUAUUAAUGAUUUUGAGCAAAAGCGUGACAAAAAAUCCUCAAAAUCUGCAUAAGGCUCUCUUAAUGGUACAGUCAUAAGUGAGUCCACUGAUCCUGCUGAUGGGUAACAGUCCCAGGCUGUUCUCAUCUCUGUAAAAGUAAGCGUGUGCUUAAGAGUAAGCAGAGCCCUUGCCUGUUCUGUUAGCUACAGUGCAGGCAGGGAUGCUCCUGGCAGUGCUGCGGGAGCCAGAGAAUAGCAAAGCCCAAAACCACAGCAAGGUGGUUAGUGAGGGGAAAGAUGAGUACUUGCCUAUUUGCUUGAAGCAUGAAAAAUCUUGGAGCUACUUCCUGGUGUCCUGUAUAUCAGAGAACCUAUUCAUUCAUGGAACUUGCUCACUAUGAGUUGACUCAGCAAAGGAGGAGUUGUUCCUGCUUAAGGCCAUGAUCCUGGAAACUCAUGCCACCCAAGCUGCUGUCGUGAACAAGGUCACAAAAAUCACGUUCAUGCAAGUGUCCCUGUGAUCAAGACAUAAAGCAAUAAAUACUGAGUGGAGGAGUAAAAUGAAACAGUGAAGUACAGGCUGAUAUUCCAGGCACGAGAGCAUCAUCGGCCACCAUUUGGAAACCACGGAAGGAAAUUAUACCUGAAAAAUCUUCGAGUUUACUGUAUUUAUCUUCUAUCCUCCUACAUCAGAGACAGUUGAAUAUCUGCUCCCCGCUUUCACAUGAGACUUUACAAGAAGCCAAGAAGGUGUGCAUGGCUCCUGGCUGAAUGCAGUGCCAGCAGGGAAGAGGCUAGUGGCCCACCAAAAGAGGAUUGCUACCCAGUGGUACACCUUGGGGUGUGCAGGAAAAUGUCUUUGUUGCCAUCACUGGAGAGACAGAAUUUUUCACCUGAUGCAGGUCAGCAAAAUCCCUUGAUAGCAUCUACUGGUUUUUGUUUAUUGUUUAAGGGACUCUAGGAAUGAGAAAGUUACACUCUUUAAUGUUAAUACUGCUGGAAAGGGCCAUGAAGGUUGCUCGCCAGAAAUACGUGUUGCAACUUUCUUCAGAUGAUAAAGUCUGGCUUCUUGUGUUCUUCCUUCUUUCUCAACUACUUAAUAUGUUGUCCUUAUUACUCAGCUCAGCAGCUCAAAACCUAUUCUGGACAAGGUUGCCUAUAUUGGUGUCAGAAAUUUGCUGCUAU